rnacentral:misc_RNA from 1 species
AAGUCGUAACAAGGUUACCUUCUGCAGCUAAGCACGGAGACCUUGCACCGGACUAUAAACAGUGCAAGUUGGUUCUCGGACCAGCAACACAAUCGAAUUGCGGGAACGUCUUAAAGCCUGUAGCACCUCCCGUUAGUGAAAGCUGACGGUACGGUAAGAGCCUACGGGAUAUACAAUAGACUAUCCGCAGCGAAGACCCUAAAGCCUCGGCCACGGGUAUCGUUCACAGACUAGGUGAUUGUGGGAGGGUUACCCUUCUAAGAUAUAGUCGG